AUUUAUGGUGAGGUCGAUAGGGGGGCCCACGAGAUCCUCCAAUCUGCGCCCGAGGCAGAUAUUUGUCUUGUGGGCCCGAACGAGUCCGACCCCCACGCCCAGGGUCGAGCAAGGCGGAGUUUUGCAGCGGGGGUCGGGCGCUCCCGACCCCGGUCCCCUGAAUCGGGCGAGGCGGAGUUUAGUGUUCAAGGGGUCGGGAAUGUCUGACCCCGGGACACCGGGUCGGGCGAGGCGGAGCGUGGCCUCUCCCUCCCGUAUUGGGCUGACGGUAGUCUUGUUACCUUAAGUGGGCCUGGGCCUUUACAUUUUGUUGUUUCCAUGGGCUUGGGGAGAUCGUUAAUAUUUCCGCCCAACAGUAGCCCCCGAGCCUGUGGUGGAGCGGGGACGCUCCUCCAGAGGCUGUUAUGAUCGCCAGUAUGGGAUCCUCGCGGUUGAUCCGGGACAGGAGGUGUUGUUCGGAUGGCUUGACCGAGG
rnacentral:lncRNA from 1 species